GCAGACACAUUCCAGCCAAUCAGCAGCAGACCCUCCCUCCCAGACCCUCCCACCUCCUGGACAGCAUCCAUUUUACAUUCAUUGUGAAGCUGCAUUCUUAGUGAGCUGUCCAGGAGGUGGGAGGGUUUGGGAGGGAGGGUCUGCUGCUGAUUGGCUGGAAUGUGUCUG